rnacentral:rRNA from 1 species
CUUAUGCGUUGUUGGGUAGGGGAGCGUUCUGUAAGCCUGUGAAGGUGGCCUGUGAGGGUUGCUGGAGGUAUCAGAAGUGCGAAUGCUGACAUAAGUAACGAUAAAGCGGGUGAAAAGCCCGCUCGCCGGAAGACCAAGGGUUCCUGUCCAACGUUAAUCGGGGCAGGGUGAGUCGACCCCUAAGGCGAGGCCGAAAGGCGUAGUCGAUGGGAAACGGGUUAAUAUUCCCGUACUUGGUGUUACUGCGAAGGGGGGACGGAGAAGGCUAUGUUGGCCGGGCGACGGUUGUCCCGGUUUAAGCGUGUAGGUGUGUGUUCCAGGUAAAUCCGGUUCACUUUAACACUGAGGCGUGACGACGAGGCACUACGGUGCUGAAGCAACAAAUGCCCUGCUUCCAGGAAAAGCCUCUAAGCAUCAGGUAACAUCAAAUCGUACCCCAAACCGACACAGGUGGUCAGGUAGAGAAUACCAAGGCGCUUGAGAGAACUCGGGUGAAGGAACUAGGCAAAAUGGUGCCGUAACUUCGGGAGAAGGCACGCUGACACGUAGGUGAAGUGAUUUACUCACGGAGCUGAAGUCAGUCGAAGAUACCAGCUGGCUGCAACUGUUUAUUAAAAACACAGCACUGUGCAAACACGAAAGUGGACGUAUACGGUGUGACGCCUGCCCGGUGCCGGAAGGUUAAUUGAUGGGGUCAGCGCAAGCGAAGCUCCUGAUCGAAGCCCCGGUAAACGGCGGCCGUAACUAUAACGGUCCUAAGGUAGCGAAAUUCCUUGUCGGGUAAGUUCCGACCUGCACGAAUGGCGUAAUGAUGGCCAGGCUGUCUCCACCCGAGACUCAGUGAAAUUGAACUCGCUGUGAAGAUGCAGUGUACCCGCGGCAAGACGGAAAGACCCCGUGAACCUUUACUAUAGCUUGACACUGAACAUUGAGCCUUGAUGUGUAGGAUAGGUGGGAGGCUUUGAAGCGUGGACGCCAGUCUGCGUGGAGCCGACCUUGAAAUACCACCCUUUAAUGUUUGAUGUUCUAACGUGGACCCGUGAUCCGGGUUGCGGACAGUGUCUGGUGGGUAGUUUGACUGGGGCGGUCUCCUCCUAAAGAGUAACGGAGGAGCACGAAGGUUGGCUAAUCCUGGUCGGACAUCAGGAGGUUAGUGCAAUGGCAUAAGCCAGCUUGACUGCGAGCGUGACGGCGCGAGCAGGUGCGAAAGCAGGUCAUAGUGAUCCGGUGGUUCUGAAUGGAAGGGCCAUCGCUCAACGGAUAAAAGGUACUCCGGGGAUAACAGGCUGAUACCGCCCAAGAGUUCAUAUCGACGGCGGUGUUUGGCACCUCGAUGUCGGCUCAUCACAUCCUGGGGCUGAAGUAGGUCCCAAGGGUAUGGCUGUUCGCCAUUUAAAGUGGUACGCGAGCUGGGUUUAGAACGUCGUGAGACAGUUCGGUCCCUAUCUGCCGUGGGCGCUGGAGAACUGAGGGGGGCUGCUCCUAGUACGAGAGGACCGGAGUGGACGCAUCACUGGUGUUCGGGUUGUCAUGCCAAUGGCACUGCCCGGUAGCUAAAUGCGGAAGAGAUAAGUGCUGAAAGCAUCUAAGCACGAAACUUGCCCCGAG